rnacentral:rRNA from 1 species
GAUGAACGCUGGCGGCGUGCCUAAUACAUGCAAGUCGAGCGAACAGACGAGGAGCUUGCUCCCCUGACGUUAGCGGCGGACGGGCGAGUAACACGUGCAUCACCUUCCUAUAAGUCUGGGAUAAUUACGGAAAAACGGUGAUACUACUAGCUCAUAUGUCCUACCGCUUGGUUCAAUAGUGAAUCAGAGUUUUCCUGUUAGAUUUAGACGGUUUCGCGUUGCAUUAGUUAGUUGGUAAGGUAACGGCUUACCAAGGCGACGAUGCGUAUCUGAUAUGAGAGGGUGAUCGGCCACACUGGAACUGAGACACGGUCCAGACUCCUACGGGAGGCAGCAGUGGGGAAUAUUCCGCAAUGGGCGAAAGCCUGACGGAGCAAUGCCGCGUGAGUGAUGAAGGUCUUCGGAUUGUAAAGCUCUGUUAUUAGGGAAGAACAAAAGUAUGAGAAACUAUGCACGUCUUGACGGUACCUAAACAGAAAGCAACGGCUAACUACGUG